CAACUUUUGUUUCCAGAUCAAUUUAUCCGCAAUUUGCAAAUACCAAGGUCAUUAGUUAUCUGUGAGCACAUGUGAUUUAAAAAUUCACUGUCACUGACUUUGCUCUGCUGAUUAAAUUCUGUGAUCAGUUUAGUUUUUUUGCUUUGUUUGAUCAUUUGAUUAGUCGUUGGACCGUACGGAUUAAAUUACGUAUAGAGAUAAUAAGUGUUGUUUUUUAUUUUUUCCAUUGAGAUUGGUUUAGAUUUGAUUUAUAAAAAAUAAAAUAAAAAAACUGACAAAGAAAUGAUACGCAGUGAUAUAGAAUGGUUAAAUUACGAUCUCAGUAUCUGUGAGCACAUUCGAAUUGUAAAAUCUGGUAAAUUAUUUGAAGCAAUUCUGAUUUCAGCUUUUUGGACUUUACAAAUAGGAAGAUGAGGAGAUAAAAAGAAGUACAAAGGGAUGCAUUUAGCUUCCACUUUUUCAUCGUUUAUUUGGUCAAUUCUUGCAUUGUUUUAUUUGGUGAAUUCUUGAUUAACGACUGGUUCUUCUUGGUUGGUCUAAUUGGGUAACUUAAGAAUUUCAUUUGUUGAUUAAAUUUCAUGUGAGAAUUUUUUGUCCUGAUGGAUCCUUUUUUUUUACCAUUAUUCAAUUUUUUUAAUGAUGUAGUUGAGUUCAGUAUUCCUUUGGAGUCUCUGCAAGUUUAAAGUAAUCUAUGUUGUUGUUGUUUUGAUUGUGCGUUUUGUGACUUACGUUAUUUUAAUAAGAAUGUUUUCAAUUUACUGUAAUCUCAAUCUCAAUGGAUUUUUUAUGAUACGCCUUAUUAGUGAAUUUAUCUACAUUUUUCAAAUGUUGGUCUCGACGAUUGUGAUCACUGCACUAUGUGGAUUUUGUUUGAAUUCCUAAAUUGUGUCGAACAUUUGACAAGUGCUUCUUGAAUAAAUUUCGAGUAAAGAGCGUCCAAAUAUGACAAUUUCAGGGUUUCAAAUUCAUUGGAAAAUAUGAAAUAAUUUUGCAUAGUUUCUGAUUAAUGCGAAACGUUGGUACUUUUGUAGUGAUAUAUGCUUUUGGAGAAAGUUGUAAAGUUUGAUACUUUUCAGCUUUAAUCUACUUUUUCCGUUGUCUUAAGGUAUAGAUCCCCGCAUUUAAUUUACUUCUUUUUCCAGGAGCAGUUUGAAGGAUUAAAAUGUUGUCAUUUGGUAUAGAUGAUCUUGGUUUAGCAAAUUGAUAGCGAGAUGGAACACUCCUAACUGCAUUGUAACUCCUAACUACGUUGUAAGUUCUACUCACUCAUCCUAUAAGAGUUGCUUCAUAAUUGUAAUAUUCAAAGCCAGAUAGCUAUUUCAGUUAUGGUUCGAUUAUUAUUUUCCUUUUCAAUUGUUAUUCUUCAUUUUUGAUGUGGUUGCUGUUUGUGAUUUCCAUGCAAUAUGAUCCAUACUCUCAGUUUUCUUUUGAGAAUUCCUCUCUUUGCCUUUUCCCAAUGUUAAUAUUUUUCACCAUGAUAGAAAUUUUAGGGUCUAUGUUAGUAUAUAUAUUAAUUUUGAUCCUACAAGUUCAAGGCAUUGAUGAUGGAAUUAAGUUCAACUCUGCUCAUUGUUCCUUUUGUAGAUAAGGUUGUACAGGAGCAAGACGUAGCACCGCAGCAUCGCGCGGGUAGUCUUGCUAGUUAGUAUCUAUAUACCAUGUUGUCACUAAAUUAGUAUCUAUAUGUCCUUUAUUCUAGAUCCAAAACCCUAAACCCUAAAAUUCAAACUAUAAUAUAACCAUUGUCAAAGCGUAGAGGAUUGAUCACGAGCGUUGAUAUAAUUUUUUUACAAUUUUCGCACUUAUAAAUUAAUUAUUAUGAAUUAUUACACAUUUUCAACUCCACCUAAAAAUAGUGUUCACCAGGGUUUGGAGGGUUUUAAAAAAUUCAAACGACGAUGGGUACAUCGUCAAAGCGUAAAAUAUGCGAUCAUGAGCUUUUUCAUAUUUGUUUCAUAUUUCUUACACUUGUAAAUUAAAUAUUAUGAAUUUUUAAUGUAAUUUGAUUUUUCCUACACAAUAACAAAGCACAACAAAAAAAAUUUCCUACUAAUUAAUUACAAGUGUGAAAAAUAUAAAAAUACUUGUGAUCGUGACAGCCCAGCUCUCCUAAGGUCCUUAUUUUGAGGACCUAUGAGAACCAAAUCUAUAUUAGCCAUAAGAUUAUAUUAGUUUAGAUCCAAAUACUCAAAAUAUUUGACAACUUAAUAAAGCAAAACCAACUUAAAAUCCAUAAACCAUUAGAAAACUCAUUUUCUUGUUUUGCUUUAUUAAGUAGUCAAAUAUGUUAAGCCUUUAGGUCUAACUAAUAUAAUCUUGUGGUUAAUAUACAUUUGGUCUUCACAAGUCCUUAAAAUAAGGACAUUAGGAGAGCAGGACAACGUGAUCGCAUCCCCUACGCUUUGAUGAUAGGCAAAUCGUCGUUUGGAUUUUUAAAACCCUUCAAACCCUCAUGUACAAAUCCAUAAUAAUUAAUGUACUAGUGUGAAAAAAAAUAUACAAACGCUUUGCAUCCUCGACGCCUGGAAGAUGAUUACAUUGUCGUUUGGAUUUUUAAACCCUCCAAACCCUCAUGAAUAGUGUUUUUUGUUUGAGUACAAACUUAAUAAUAAUUUCAAACUUUUAAAGGCUCGUUUAGAAGUGCUUUCAAAAUUACUGAAAGCGAUUUUGAUGAGAGUGCUUUUAGAACCAAUCCUUAGUAAAAAGUGAAUCCUCUAAAAGCACUUAAAGUGCUAGUAGUGCUUCUUGCAUGAAGCAUUUCCAGUGCUUUUGGAACCAAAAAAUACUUUCACCAAAAACACUUUCAGUCAUUUUAAAAUCACUUCCAAAUGAACCAUAAUUUAAAAACAAGAAGAUCUAAGUGUUUCUCCAACUUAAUGUCCUAGAAGAUAAUCCUUUAAAAGUAUAUUUUGAGAAAGAGUUAGAAUUGAGAAAAUAGAAGUUGCUAAAGUAACCAAAAAAAAAAAAUCUUAAAUAAAAUUAUGAAUUUUGCAAAAAAAAAAAAAAAAACAUGAAUUAUCAAUAUUUAUGAGUUAUUUCUUUUAUGUGUUUCAUCUACUAAUGGGAUUACAAUCCCUAUAUGGCCGAGAUAUACCAUGAAUCCAAUGCAACAAAGAUAUUUUCUUAAACGGCACUCUUAAUUAGUGACCUUUAGCAAUGUCUCCAUAAGUUCAAUGUUCACUAAUCAAAUGCGCGUAUAGUGAGGGGUUCAAACUAACCAAUUAAGGAGAGUGUGCCGUAAUGAAUCAUUUUCAAGCUCAUAUUUCCUACUAUAAAGACAUAAUAACCAACCAUGGAAACGUAAAUGUUCCUCUUCGAAGAAACCCAUAGCUUCCGGAUUUUACUAUUCUUUAGAGUCUAACUUAGACAUUGGAGGGGUUUUUGUUCACACCACACCAUUAAUCAGUAUGACAAGGUUUUACUUAUCAAUUCUCUCAUUUGUCACAGGAACACCGUAACUAUUUGACCCUCGUGUAAAAUUCGUUCCUCAUAGUAUUUGGAUAUUAAAAUUAGACUGUGUGGUUGAGCAAUAAGCAAUCAAAUAAAUGAGGGCGAUCAAAAUAAAAAUAUUUGCGAAGCUUUGUAACCUAAAUAGGUGUAAAGAAUAUUUGAGCAUUAGUGGUACCACUUAAGUUGAUUUAGUGUGAGUGUGAUUGUGAAGGACAAUUAUUUCAGCAUCAUUAUGUAAAAUCACCAAUCUUAACAUCUUAGUGACUGUGUAGACACCAAUUAUUUGGUACUAGAGUUUAGAUAUGUCUUUCAUUCUGAUGGCGAACGAGCAUCAACAUGAUUAAAGCCGCUGUUACUGUGACGUAAUCCUGAUGGACUUUCACAAAUCUAAAUCCAAUCAUUCAUUUGGCAAUUAGUAUUACGAUUUAAUGAUAUUAUUCUUCACUUGUAAGUGAGAGAUUUUAAAUUUGAUUAUCGUCAAAAGUAAAUUUGAACCACAUAAAUAAUUGGUAUUUCUCUUCACUCUUGUAAGGGAGAGGGUUGAUUAUCCCGUUUGAGAGAAAAAAAAUAAAAAAUCCAAUCAUCCAUCUUUUGUAAUCAAAAGGUUGUCACCACUGGCAAGCACUAGUCAAUAUCAUUUGGUUUAACACUCACUGCAACGCAUGAUUACUCAUCACAUCCAAAGAGCAUCGCAAUAUGUAUUUAUUUUGUAUUUAUAUAUGUUAAAAUGUGAUAUAUCAACCUUGUUCCUCAGUUAUAUUAUAACCACUGUUCGAAAAGUCCAUGCCUAGCGCCGAGCAGUUGGUCACCAUCCCGAUUAAUGCUUAGAUGUAUAAAAAUUAAUAAAGGACGUCUAAGCCUGUUGAGGCGUCCUCCUAGACGUCUAGCCCGUCCAGGGCUGCCUAAGCACUCGCCUAGGUUGCGACUCACUUAGACAGAAAAUAGAUUACUUUCAUUUUGUAUUUUAUUUUUUUUUCAAUAAAUUGUAAGAGACUUAUUGAAUGCUUAAAUGAACACACAUUAUAUGCUUGUUCCUCAUGUUUUUCCUCAUAUUCCAAUACUUUAUAAUAUAUAUGUCAUUCUAUUUUGUAGUUUAUGAUGCUGAAAUUAUAUAUAUUUUAAGUAUAAAUACACUUAUUUACACGAAAUAUAUAGAUCUACUUAAAUUAGCCUAGGCGCUAGGUCCCAGUCCGCCGUCUAACUAGCACUUAGCGUUUUUAGAACCUUAAUUAUAACAAAUAAAGUAAUGAUAAAUUUUUAAGCUUAAUAUUGUCAUCAUAAAAAUAUCUCGAUGAUAUUAGGAGUUGAAUCUUCUACAUAUAAAAUAUAUAUUAUUUUGUUAUAUUUUUGACACGAAUUUAUUCUCUAACAAGCAAUACUUGACGUGACAUAGUUCCAAAUAUAGGUAAAAAUUUAUCUAAAAUGAGAGAGAAGGGAUUUUAUGUCUUUAGUUUUGUCUCACACCGCAGUGUUUAGCUAGUCGUUAAUUAUUUGUUUAGAGGAAGUAAUAGGAGCUCAAUGAUUAGAGACUCGUGGGUCAUUUUUUAACAUAAAGCUUGCCAGUUGGCAUUAUGCAAGACAUGACAAUUUUCUGUAUUUUCUUGAAUACAGGCCAAUGGCCAAAUGAAGUGUGGCAAAUAAUGAAGGGGGAGAUAAUAAUGAAUACCAUGAACAAGAUAACCACUAAUGCACUGGGUUUUAAAUUUCAUUUAAGUCUAAUGGAAGCAUUGGGGCCCUUUUAGGGUUCCCCACUAAAUUCAUUUACACCCUAAUUCUAUAUACAUACAUAUACACACACACACACACACCUAACUAUUUCUUUAGUUACUUGGUAUUGUCACCUAGUUUCGGUACCCUACAUGGUUGUCUACAUUCUUUGGACUCCACAUUAAUUCAUUUCAUUUUCUUAAUUAUAUCAACAUCAAGCCACCUAACGUUACCGUCUAAUAUUAUUUUUCUUCACUUGUAAGUUAGAGGUUAUAAGUUUGAUCAACUCUGAUAAAUAGGAAAUUCAAUACUCAUUAUUUUGCUAGUUCGUUGUAUGACUUGUCCCAAAUCUCUGAUCCCUUAGUAUAAACACACCGUUGUAUUGAAAAUAUUUGGGCAGAUCACUUCUAAUGGAAUCUUGAAGUGUUUGCUACAUACACUCACAUGGUUUAACUAGUUAUGAUUUGUUUUUCCGGGUAAUAACUAUGCAUAAUUUUUGGUUCAACAAAUAUUUGUUGUUUAGUGGCAUGCAUAUAUAAAAAUGAAGAGAAAUAGAGAUUGUCCCUCUUCAACUUGACACUACUUGAACCCCCACGAAUCCUUCACUUCAGUUUCAUUAGAUAAUUUUGUAGAAUCAUAUUUUUCUUCUUCAAGUUUUUCAUAGUAGAUCUAAGAUUUGAAGAUGAGAGAAUAAGAGUCGAACUUUUAUUAUGAAUAACAAAAAUAUUUUAUUACUAAUUCUAUGCAUUGCUUCUAAUUUUGCAUAUUAUUUUAUAAGCAUAAAAUUCAAGAAAUAUCACUGUAUCCUUGACAUUUGAAUAUUAAGUGACCCUAUAAAUUUAGCUAAAAAUGGUCGUGGUAGUUUCUAAGAUUUGAAGACAAAAGAACAAGAGUUGAACUUUUAUUGUGAGUAAUAAUUAAUAAUAUAUUAUUAUUAAUUUUAUGCGUUGCUCGUAAUUUUUCUUAUUAUUUUACACGCAUAAUUUAGGAAAUCACUCUAUUCUUGACAUUGGCACAUUAGGCGACCCCUAAGCUCAGCUAAAAAUGGUAGUGGGUAGUUUCUAAUUAGCUAAAAAAUAUUUCCACAAUGAUCCUAAUACACAAUACUUACAUAAAUGAAGACAAUAAAGGAAGUGAAUUGUUAUUAGCACUCCAAAAAUCUCAUUCUACACUCCUCACAAGUGUAUUUUUCUUUCUAAUUAUAAAAAGUUUGGACUGUAAAAUAAGAUUUUUAGAAUGCCAAUAAUAAUUUCCUAAAAGAAAAGUAAUUAUAAAGACAUCAUUAGUACAUCAAGUACUUCAUUCUCCAAGUACCUCUCCGAGAGAGAGAGAAAUUGAAAAAUGAAAGAAAAAGAAAAAAGAAAAAAAGAAAAAGAAAGAAGGGCAGUAUAAACCUUUGAAAGUGGGUAGCUUUUAAAAGUCAUUUAACAUAAAAUUGCUUAAAAUCUAGGAAGGUGGUUAACUUUAUGGUCUUCUUCUCUGUGAACCCCAUGAAACCCUCUCACUAAAGAAAACUUAGGAUUGGAUCCCCUUGCGUAUAGAAUUAAAGGAAAGAUCCUAUUCUAUUAGUGAAAAGUAACAGGCAAUCAUGAUAGUCCUUUUAUUACUAAUGUAGUGUUUACUGACCGAGUUUUAAAUUAGAUUGGAUAAUAAGACGGAUAUAUAAUUACUUUUAUAGUUUCAGAAUAACAAUCAUGCAAAUAGAAAUCUAACACAGUUUAUUCUGCUCAUAUAGUACAUUGGGGGAAAGAUUAUGCACUUUUCUCUUUUCCAAUGCCAGUUAUAAGCAAACUAACAAAUAUUGUUUUACGGCUUAUUCUCUAAAUUGCCUUCUGAAACUGUAAUUUAGUCUCGAUUUACAUUUUUGAAAUUGGUUUUGUCUUACUUUACCUUCUGAAACGACCAUUUUUAACUCUUUUGGUCUAAGGUAACGCUAAAUUCAAGAGCAUUUUGAGCAUUUAACUUCUUACACCUUUUUGUCUUGCCUCCAUCAUUCCUUUCAGUUCAAGCAACUGAUCUUCUUGGUAAAACAAAUUGGAGUCAUGAAAGAAGAGAACGAAAUUUGACGAUUUAUUAUGUUUGAAUUUGACAUUUUUUCACUGAAUGGGGUGGAGUGAGACUAAAUGAAUUGCUUAUGACAGUUUUAGAAGGUAAAAUGAGACAAAACCAGUUUCUGG
rnacentral:lncRNA from 1 species